rnacentral:rRNA from 1 species
AUGGAGUACGAGCACCAGUACAGCAGCAACAACAGCUUUGGCAAGGAGAAGAGGCCUCCGGCAAAGAGGGGGUAGGUCAAGCUCCAGAUAGCGAGGGCGGUGAGCAAUCUCGUGUCUCCCAGCGGCGCUGCUGACCGCUCGAAGCAGGCAAAUCGCAGCAGCUUCAGAAGGGAAACAGGCUACAACUAA